UACGAAGGGUGCAAGCGUUACUCGGAAUUACUGGGCGUAAAGCGUGCGUAGGCGGUUUGUUAAGUCUGUCGUGAAAGCCCUGGGCUCAACCUGGGAAUUGCGAUGGAUACUGGCAAGCUAGAGUACGGUAGAGGAUGGUGGAAUUCCCGGUGUAGCGGUGAAAUGCGUAGAGAUCGGGAGGAACACCUGUGGCGAAGGCGGCCAUCUGGACCAGUACUGACGCUGAGGCACGAAAGCGUGGGGAGCAAACAGG
rnacentral:rRNA from 1 species